rfam:Ovis aries breed Texel chromosome 9, whole genome shotgun sequence.
UCCCUGGUGGCUUAGCUGGUAAACAAUCCACCUGAAAUGUGGGAGACCUGGGUUUAAUCCCUGGCUUGGGAA